UACGUAGGGCGCAAGCGUUGUCCGGAAUUAUUGGGCGUAAAGAGCGCGUAGGCGGCGCUGUACGACCCGUGUGAAAGCCCCCGGCUCAACUGGGGAGGGUCACGGGUAACGGCAGUGCUCUGAGUGCAGGAGAGGGAAGUGGAACUCCGGGAGUAGCGGUGAAAUGCGUAGAGACCCGGAGGAACACCGGUGGCGAAGGCGGCUUCCUGGUCUGCAACUGACGCUGUGGCGCGAAAGCUAGGGGAGCAAACGGG
rnacentral:rRNA from 1 species